AGUUUGAUGCCAACGUUCGAUAAAUGCAACGUAUGCCCCACACAGAACGCACUGCAAGGCAAUGCUGCAAGGCAAACGCAGCGUUCCAAUGGAAAUGAAUGUAGUAGUUCUGCUGUACCAAAAUGCAAUGAUGCUGUCGGUGUGCAUAAGCUCCACCCCACUGAUAAUUGUGCUAGAAAACAGAUAGGCAGGUAUUCAAGGUGUGUUACACAGAAGAACAGCACACAGGACAACCAACAAUGCACCUUUUACAGGCAUUUUUCCUGACGUUUGCGGAGACUGUGUUCAGGGUAAACACUGCCCAUGUCGGGUCAAGCGUAAAUUACCUAAAAGUCUGUUCGAACGCUUCGAACACACCGACUGUGUGUUGCAUCACUGCUGCAUAACAUUUUGCGCAGCUAGGCAACUAUACUGAUGCAGGUAUAUUUUGCAGAUGGUCCCAUGCCGUUGGACACGUGGAGGAGAGAAUCAUUUUCGCAGUAUCCUCAAAACCGUGUCUUUUUGACACAACUGCUGACAGCUACAGGGACAUAAACACAAAAAAUGCUGCUUGGAGACAAGUGUCCACAAUAGUAGGAUUGCCAGAAGAAGACUGUAGCGGGAAGUGGAGAGGACUCAGGGACAGGUAUCAGAGAGACAGAAGGGCAGAGAAAGAGAAGAAGAGGUCUGGGUCAGCAGCUUCAGGCCAGCAGCCUUGGUGCUUCUGCCACAUUCUUUUCUGGAUCCAUUUAUUGUGCCUAGGGCAACGAGUGGCAAUUUUACAGCCAGACCCUCUACUACGUCAUCCACAAGUGUUGUCACCACCGGUGCAUCAAGACCCUCUACAUCAUCUACUAGUGCGACCUCCAUUGGUGCAGCGAGACCCUCUACAAUGUCUACAUCAUCCACAAGUAUGACCACCACCAGUGCAGCCAUGGAAGAUGAUGAAAUGGAGGAAGCACCUCUGGAUCUAGGACCAUCUGAGAUUAUUAUGAACCUCACGGAAGUGACCACUGAGGACCUCGUUGAACAGGAUGUGGCCGAGGAGAGAAACAAAGAGGAACAACAUCACACCAGGCGUCAUCGGAGGUACCAGCCCCCAGAUCCAGUCAACUCAUUUCAGCAGAGGCUCCUCCAAGCCGUCGAGAGGGAUGCAGCCCAACCUGAUGCUCACAGGAAGGAGGAUGAAGAGACCCUCUUUGUCAUGACCCUGGUGCCAACACUGAAUAGGCUGCCUCAGCAAAGCAGCAGCAUACCACCCUGCAUCCCACUGCUGGCUUGCUUCGGAAGCUAAGCAGGGUUGGUCCUGGUCAGUCCCUGGAUGGGAGACCAGAUGCUGCUAGAAGUGGUGUUGGAGGGCCAGUAGGAGGCACUCUUUCCUCUGUUCUAAAAAAUUUAAAAUAUCCCAAUGCCCCAGGGCAGUGAUUGGGGACACUGUGUAGGGUGCCGUCUUUCGGAUGGGACGUUAAACAGGUGUCCUGACUCUCUGAGGUCAUUAAAGAUCCCAUGUCACUUAUUGUAAGAGUAGGGGUGUUAACCCCGGUGUCCUGGUUAAAUUCCCAAUCUGGCCCUCAAACCAUAUGGUCACCUAAUAAUCCCCAGUUUCCAAUUGGCUCAUUCAUCCCCCUCCUCUCCCCUGUAACUAUUCCCCCAGGUCGUUGCUGCAAAUGAGAACGUGUUCUCAGUCAACUUACCUGGUAAAAUAACGGAUAAAUAAAUACAUGUAAAAAAGAAAAGAAAAGCAGCAGUUAAAAUGUAUCAGCUGUUUUUCCAAGCCGAGUUCAAUGGUAUGUUUUUUUCUUCUCCACAUCACAGGUAGUGUCAUAAGUGUUGCGACAGUGAAGUAAAGUAGGUCAUUUUUACAUUAUACUCAUGUAGGCUAAUUGGUAUUUCAGAUCAAAGUAUUAAUAUGAGGCAAAUGUAUAGCUGCUGUUUCUGGGUUCGAAAAUAUCCUAAAACAGUUUGCUGUCUAAAUAUUUGCUUGUCAUAUUCAUCUUUUGAUCUGAAAUACAAAUUCCAUGAGUAAACAGCAAGUAUUACCAACUUUACCACACUGUUCCAAUAUUUAUGCCUCUAACUACACUAUACAAGCAGUAUUUAGUUAACAUAAAUCUCACCUUUUAUGGUGUUCUAUUAUGUUAAUUAGUCAAUUUAGCCGACCAGCUCACAGGAAGGACAGGAAGAGGAGUUGUUGUUUUGACCUUGCACGUUGUACCUUUCUUUUCACACAUGUCAGUUCCGUUUAAAUUGUCAAUUCAUGAAGUAAUUUGUUUAUAAAGUCUUAGGAUAGCAUUUAUUAAUAGUGUUACAUAGAUUUCUGAAUUGACAGAAUUGAAACUCAUACACCGGAGAAUUCAGAUGCUCUUGUUGGUCUCUUACAAGACUAAAGGUGAAUAUAUUUAUUUCAUUUAAAACCACUUGAAAACCAGGGUGUUGAAACUGUUUGUGAAGUUAUGUUCCAUCGACUGGUCCAUGACGUCCAGGGGCCAUUUGUUUGUUUAGCUGUGUUAUGGCUACACAUUCUUUUCUUUUUUUCAGAGACAGACACACACCUCUCCUCCACUCCUCUCUGUACCUCAGAUCUCCAGUGCCCUGCCCUCUCUCUUUAUGGCCAUGUCUGAAGUUCCCCUACUACGUCUAGGCUUUAUGAGUAGAGUCCCUGUAUCUGUCUGAAGUUCCCCUACUACGUCUAGGCUUUAUGAGUAGUCCCUGUAUCUGUCUGAACUUCCCCUACUACGUCUAGGCUUUAUGAGUAGUCCCUGUAUCUGUCUGAACUUCCCCUACUACGUCUAGGCUUUAUGAGUAGUCCCUGUAUCUGUCUACAGUUCCCCUACUACGUCUAGGCUUUAUGAGUAGAGUCCCUGUAUCUGUCUGAACUUCCCCUACUACGUCUAGGCUUUAUGAGUAGUCCCUGUAUCUGUCUACAGUUCCCCUACUACGUCUAGGCUUUAUGAGUAGUCCCUGUAUCUGUCUGCAGUUCCCCUACUACGUCUAGGCUUUAUGAGUAGUCCCUGUAUCUGUCUGCAGUUCCCCUACUACGUCUAGGCUUUAUGAGUAGUCCCUGUAUCUGUCUGCAGUUCCCCUACUACGUCUAGGCUUUAUGAGUAGUCCCUGUAUCUGUCUACAGUUCCCCUACUACGUCUAGGCUUUAUGAGUAGUCCCUGUAUCUGUCUGAAGUUCCUCUACUACGUCUAGGCUUUAUGAGUAGUCCCUGUAUCUGUCUGCAGUUCCCCUACAACGUCUAGGCUUUAUGAGUAGUCCCUGUAUCUGUCUGCAGUUGUGCCAAAAAAACAUGCAGAAUACAGGCUACACAUUCAUUUAUUUUUAUUUUUACACACACCUCUCAAUAGUUUUAUGUUUUUAACAUUUUUACAACACACAUACCUGUCAUGUUCUUUCCUGUACUUGAAUACAUAUUAAAUUAUGUUUUCAUAGUCAGUUGUUUAAUUUGUUUAUUAAUAAAUCAUUUAGACUUAAUCUGCUUAUUUCUUCCCUACACCUUUGCAGAUCUAAGACAAGAUGAAAGUAAAAACACAUUCUCUUCCUACCUGUAUUUUGUCAGGCCAGUGAACAUGGUGGUAAACUGUACUAUUUGUAUGGACCCUAGGUUACCCUUUCCCGUUGUUAUCAUACUGUAUGUCGUAUAACCUUAGUGCUCCCGC
rnacentral:lncRNA from 1 species